rnacentral:rRNA from 1 species
UGGGGAAUCUUGGACAAUGGGGGCAACCCUGAUCCAGCCAUGCCGCGUGAGUGAUGAAGGCCUUAGGGUCGUAAAGCUCUUUCGCCUGUGAAGAUAAUGACGGUAGCAGGUAAAGAAACCCCGGCUAACUCCGUGCCAGCAGCCGCGGUAAUACGGAGGGGGUUAGCGUUGUUCGGAAUUACUGGGCGUAAAGCGCACGUAGGCGGACCAGAAAGUUGGGGGUGAAAUCCCGGGGGCUCAACCCCGGAACUGCCUCCAAAACUAUUGGUCUAGAGUUCGAGAGAGGUGAGUGGAAUUCCAAGUGUAGAGGUGAAAUUCGUAGAUAUUUGGAGGAACACCAGUGGCGAAGGCGGCUCACUGGCUCGAUACUGACGCUGAGGUGCGAAAGUGUGGGGAGCAAACAGGAUUAGAUACCCUGGUAGUCCACACCGUAAAACGAUGAAUGCCAGUCGUCGGGUAGCAUGCUAUUCGGUGACACACCUAAC